GACGAACGCUGGCGGCGUGCUUAACACAUGCAAGUCGAACGGUGAACUCCGCUUUCGGGGGGACCCGUGGCGAACAGGGGAGUAACACGUGGGCAACCUCCGCUCAGCACUUGGAUAACACCAAGAAAUUGGGGCUAUUACCGGGUAUAGCCGCUGACCGCAUGGUGUGGGGGGGGAAGGUUUUUUCGGCUGGGGUUGGGCCCGCGGCUUAUCAGCUGGUUGGGGGGUAAGUGGCUAACCAGGGGGACGCCGGGUGGCCGGCCUGGGAGGGUGACCGGCCACACUGGGACUGGGACAGGGCCCAGACUCCUACGGGGGGCAGCGGGGGGGAUUAUUGCGCAAUGGGCGAAAGCCUGACGCAGCGACGCCGCGUGGGGGAUGACGGCCUUCGGGUUGUAACCCUCUUUCAGAAGGGACGAAGCGAAAGUGACGGUACCUGCAGAAGAAGCACCGGCCAACUACGUG
rnacentral:rRNA from 1 species